GCAGACGGCGAAGCUCACGUUCUCAGGAAAGGGUGGUGGGGGCCCGGGGUGCGUGAGAGGCGCCUGGGCGCAGGCGCAGACGACGGGGGUCGAGUUGGGCAGGCGGUAGGGGCGACCUGGGAGAAGGUCCCUGCUGCAGACGUGGAAAUGCAUCUUGUUCCAGUACAUCACAUUCCAGGGAGCAAAGAAUUCUUUUACAAAGCCGGGUGUCAUCAUUUUCUUAGAAGAAGAACCAUUGCAACAGGGCUCAAAGUUGACUCUGCUGGAAAGGCAAGGGACAGGGAAAUGAUGAUAACAUAAGCAGCCGGCUGUGUCAUUCCUUCCAUUUGUAUCCAGAUUCUCUCAUCAAAAUUGACUAGAAGGGUGGCGUGACUCACGGAGAGAAGGAAGAUCGGUGUGGUGUGGCAGCCCACCUGAGAGCCACCGCAACCCCCUACCCCCAGCCAAGGGACGCAGUGAGUGAGCAUGCCACCCAGCCUAGGAAACUGUGCUUAUCCCACGGAAGUAUGCAACCCACGGAUCGGAAGAUCCCAGUCACGAACCCACCCCACCAGGGCCUAGCCUCCCAACCCUGGAACACGCAGAUUCUUACAUCCUCUCAGCUGGAAUCUGCUUAAGCCUGAGGAACUCCUAAUGGGAGGGGCGACUUGCACCUGCUUCAGCUGCCUGCUCUCUAAGCCUUUUAGCCUCAUGGGGGAGGGGCAGCAGCCAGUACUGGGACUCGCAACUGCCUAACAAGCUAAGCUCCAUGGGCAGGGGAAGGGUGCCACCCAUUUCUAUAGCUCCAGGCUGCGUUUUUCUGCUGGUGGAGCCAAGGAGGCUGGACAGCUUGGUCCCAAGACUUGUCCCACAGCUCAACGCAUGGGCUGUGCCAGUCUGUGGCCAGAGUGCCUCUUCAGGUCUAACCCUGACCCAUCCUUCUUCAGUGGGCGGGGCUUCCCUGCAGAAUCUCCAAUAACUCCAGCCAGAGGAUCUCCCUGGGCCUGAGCCCCCAGGGGGAGGGGUGGCCACAGUCUGCAGAUCAGCAGACUUAGCCUCUCCUCUUGGUAGUUCUGAGGAAUCUGGGCAGCCUAGACAAGUGGGCUUCCCCCAGUGAAACACACCCUCUCCACCAAGGGACAAAGUGCUUUGUUAAAUGGGUCCUGCUCCCUGUGUCACCCAACUGGGUGAGACCCUCCAGCAGGGGUUGUUAGACACCCCAUACAGGGGCAAUCCUACUGGCAUCAGGUUGGUGCCCCUUGAGGUCAGAGGUCCCAGAAGAAGGAGGAGGAAAACAUCUUGGCUGCUCUCCAGCCUUGUCGAGUGGCAUUUCCAGGCACAGGACCGAAUCAGAUGAAUAAGACCUGAAAUGAACCCCCAGCAAAUUGCAGCCACCCUACAGAAGAGGGACCUGACUAUUGAAAGAAAGUAAACAAGCAGAAAGGAACAACAACAGCAUCAACAACAACAACAACAACAAAAAGGCCCGCAUAAAAACCCCAUCCAAGGGUCAGCAGCCUCAAAAACCAAAACUAGACAAACUCAUGAAGAUGAGAAAGAAUCAAUGAAAAAAUGCUGAAAACUCAAAAGGCCAGAGUGCCUCCUCUUCUCCAAAUGAUCCCAACAUCUCUCCAUCAAGGGCACAGAACUGGACAGAGAAUCAGAUGGACGAAUUGACAGAAGUAGGAUUCAGAAGAUGGGUAAUAAAAAACUAUGAUGAGCUUUUUUUUUUUUUAUGAGCUAAACAAGCAUGUUCUAACCCAACAUGAAGAAGCUAAGAACCUUGAUAAAACAUUAGAGGAAUUGAUAACUAGAAUAACCAGUUUAGAAAGGAACAUAAAUGACCUGAUGAAGCUGAAAAACACAGCAAGAGAACUUUGUGAAGCAUACCGAAGUAUCAACAGCUGAACUGGCCAAGUGGAAAAAAGAAUAUCAGAGUUUGAAGACCACGUUUACUGAAAUAAGACAUGCAGACAAGAAUAGAGAAAAAAAGAA